rnacentral:rRNA from 1 species
UACAGAGGGUGCAAGCGUUAUUCGGAAUUACUGGGCGUAAAGCGUGCGUAGGCGGUUAUGUAAGUCAGGUGUGAAAGCCCCGGGCUCAACCUGGGAAUUGCAUUUGAGACUGCAUAGCUAGGGUGCGGAAGAGGGAAGCGGAAUUUCCGGUGUAGCGGUGAAAUGCGUAGAUAUCGGAAGGAACAUCAGUGGCGAAAGCGGCUUCCUGGUCCAGCACCGACGUUCAGGCACGAAAGCGUGGGGAGCAAACAGG